CUUUCAUGUCACGAGCUCUGACACCUUCUGAUCAUCAGCAUGCCAUUACCUCCAGUGCCUUAAGUGAUGUCCUACUUUACUUUCUACCAUCCUGGUUAUGGAGACUCUCAACCAGAUUUCUGCUUCUAUCAUGGCGCUGCAGCAUCAAUCCGCAGUGGUGAGCGAGGAACCUGAGAUUGGACGCAUAGAUAAGUGUAAUGGAGUGGCACGAUGGAUUGCUUGCCACUCUGAACAUGUUUAAAUGUCAGCCUUCUAAGUACUACACUUCCUGCUCUAAGGUUGCAAUGUUAACCUCCCUUUUAUCUGGCCAUGCCAGGAGCGGGCAUCAGCUCUCUAUAAGUCACCAGCCCGCAAUAAUCAUACCCAAUUCAUGCAGCAGUUGAAGAAGUUCUUCAUUCCCCCUAGUAGCAAAGUGGAAGUGAAAUCAAAAUUCCUUCAAUUAUGUCAGGGAAAUCAGCCUUUUUGUCAUUUUGUGUAUGAAUUCUGCCUCUUUGUUAUGAUUUAGGGUUGUUUCAUUUUUGGCUUCAGGUUUUUUCCUUAUAUGUUUUUCACUGCUCAAGUUUUGAAUCAUGCUUCUGUUGAUUAUUUUCCUGUUAAUGCUUUUGUUUUAUGUUUUUCUAGUUAUGGUUCUAUUAGUUUGUUUCCUUGGAUUUGCGUUCUGUUCAACCCAUGUUUUGCGCCUGUCACAUUUUGUUCUCUGUUAAUUAUCUUUAUCCGGUUCACCUGCUCCAAUCUAAUCUGUCUCCUAGCUCCACCUGGUUUACGCUCCAUAAAUACACACCUGUUCUGUCAUUAGGCGCAGAAACAUUUCUCAAAUCAUGUCUUGUUUACAGAUCAUGAUCAUGUCUUGCUUUUUGGACCAUGCCAUGCCUGUCUAGCCAGCCUGUUAUUGUUUUGUUCCUGCCUCUUCUUGUUAGAGAGUUUUUUGUAAAUUAAAUCCUUUUUUUACUUACCGUCA